rnacentral:rRNA from 1 species
AACGAACGCUGGCGGCAGGCUUAACACAUGCAAGUCGAACGGGUGUAGCAAUACAUCAGUGGCAGACGGGUGAGUAACGCGUGGGAACCUUCCUAGGGGUACGGAACAACUCAGGGAAACUUGAGCUAAUACCGUAUACGUCCGUGAGGAGAAAGAUUUAUCGCCCUUAGACGGGCCCGCGUCGGAUUAGCUAGUUGGUGGGGUAACGGCCUACCAAGGCGACGAUCCGUAGCUGAUCUUAGAGGAUGAUCAGCCACACUGGGACUGAGACACGGCCCAGACUCCUACGGGAGGCAGCAGUGGGGAAUCUUGGACAAUGGGCGCAAGCCUGAUCCAGCCAUGCCGCGUGGGUGAAGAAGGUCUUCGGAUUGUAAAGCUCUUUUGCCAGGGACGAUAAUGACGGUACCUGGAGAAUAAGCCCCGGCAAACUUCGUGCCAGCAGCCGCCGUAA